GCUAGGGGACAAUGAAAACAGGCCUGACAGUUUCACUUUUGUUUACAGUUUCUAAUAGUUUUCUCUUUCAUGUUAUCACUCCCUCGCAUAGCGCUACAAUGAAAUAAACUACAAACGUAUCUGCAUGCUAAUAAAAACCAAAAUUGCCAGAUAACUCGAAAUAGCUCACCACCUGGACUGCAAGCCUGGAGAAGCCUUAAAAAUACUCUCCAAAAAAAGAACUGCAGUCACUGGGACCUGAAGAGCUCUGCCCAUGUGUGGAUGUUUGCUGGCGUUACUGCCUUGAACUCUCCGUUGAGCAGGGCAGCAGGGAAGCGGCAAGUGUGUGCAGCAGGCAGAGUCCGAGUCCACAGCAGCUGGUCACGAAUCCCGAAGGCCAAGCAAGAGCAAAGGCUGGCUGGGCUGUGA
rnacentral:lncRNA from 1 species